rnacentral:RNase_P_RNA from 1 species
UUCAGGGGUGAGCUCUCGCGGCUCGGCGCUUGCGCCGGGUCGAGGAAAGUCCGGACAUCAUAGGGCAGGAUUCCCGGUGAAAGCCGGGGCAGGGCGGCGCGAGCCAGCCUUGACGGCCAGUGCCACAGAAAACAAACCGCCUCGCGCCUCGGCGUGGGGUAAGGGUGAAAAGGUGGGGUAAGAGCCCACCGCCGCUUGCGGGUAACCGCGCGGGCAGGGUAAACCCAUUCCGGUGCAAGACAGUGUAGGGGACCGGGCGGCCCGUCCAUACGGUCCCGGGUAGGUCGCAUCCCUUCGGGGAGACGCGCUUGCGCGUCAGAUAAAUGAGAGCAGCCGCUUCGGCGGCGACAGAAUCCGGCUUAUGACCCCCUGAUUAUU